CAACCUUGUGCCCUGUGUUGCUGGGCAUAUGCCGUCCACCAUGGCGUGCAGUCGUCAGCUUCCAUCAACAUGGAGUGUACUGAUAUCACGGCCGGCCUCCUCAGGUCUCAUCAUGGGGAAACGAUGCUCAACAAGAAAGAAAGGUGCCUGUCAGUGUGAUGAGGAAUCCGAUUCGCAGUCUAACCCUGAGAGGUCACGAAGGCCAUGGAUUUGCUGUGUGCCGUGCGCCAUCGGUCCCCGGAGCCCCGCUACAUUCACGCACUGUGCGGAGAGCUGACUCAUGCCCUUGGAGCUUGAGGCCUGGCGGCGGGUGCUCCGGUCCCUCCGACGCCUACGAACGGUACCCCUGUAUGACGGCGCUGCUCGAUCGUUUCUGCUUUUGUCCCGAGUGCAGCGGGGGACUUUGUUCAGUUCACACUGGCGACUGAGGUGAAUGUGCUGAAUUUUCGCAGAAUCUGUCUUCACACUGCUGCUAUGUUAGUGCCUUAAAAACCAUACAUAUGUCUGCUACAUUACUGUCUUUUACAAAUAAAACUGUGCUUGAGUG